UACGUAGGGUGCGAGCGUUGUCCGGAAUUAUUGGGCGUUAAAGAGCUACGUAGGCGGUUUGUCGCGUCGACUGUGAAAAACUGGGGGGCUUAACUCUCAGCUUGCAGUUGAUACGGGCAGACUUGAGUUCGGUAGGGGGAGACUGGAAUUCCUGGUGUAGCGGUGAAAUGCGCAGAUAUCAGGAGGAACACCAAUGGCGAAGGCAGCACUCUGGGACGUGACUGACGCUGAGACGCGAAAGCGUGGGGAGCAAACAGG
rnacentral:rRNA from 1 species